CUACGGGAGGCAGCAGUGGGGAAUAUUGGACAAUGGGGGGAACCCUGAUCCAGCCAUGCCGCGUGUGUGAAGAAGGCCUUUUGGUUGUAAAGCACUUUAAGCAGUGAAGAAGACUCUUCGGUUAAUACCCGGGGACGAUGACAUUAGCUGCAGAAUAAGCACCGGCUAACUCUAUGCCAGCAGCCGCGGUAAUACAGAGGGUGCAAGCGUUAAUCGGAAUUACUGGGCGUAAAGCGAGCGUAGGUGGCUUGAUAAGUCAGAUGUGAAAUCCCCGGGCUUAACCUGGGAACUGCAUCUGAAACUGUUAGGCUAGAGUAGGUGAGAGGGAAGUAGAAUUUCAGGGGUAGCGGUGAAAUGCGUAGAGAUCUGAAGGAAUACCGAUGGCGAAGGCAGCUUCCUGGCAUCAUACUGACACUGAGGCUCGAAAGCGUGGGUAGCAAACAGGAUUAGAUACCCCCGUAGUC
rnacentral:rRNA from 1 species